ACGCUGGCGGCGUGCUUAACACAUGCAAGUCGAGCGAUGAAGCUCCUUCGGGAGUGGAUUAGCGGCGGACGGGUGAGUAACACGUGGGCAACCUGCCUUGUAGAGAGGAAUAGCCAUUCGAAAGGAUGAUUAAUACCUCAUAAUAUUGUAGCUUCGCAUGAAGCAACAACCAAAGGAGCAAUCCACUACAAGAUGGGCCCGCGGCGCAUUAGCUAGUUGGUGGGGUAACGGCUCACCAAGGCGACGAUGCGUAGCCGACCUGAGAGGGUGAUCGGCCACAUUGGGACUGAGACACGGCCCAGACUCCUACGGGAGGCAGCAGUGGGGAAUAUUGCACAAUGGGGGAAACCCUGAUGCAGCCAACGCCGCGUGAGUGAUGACGGUCUUCGGAUUGUAAAGCUCUGUCUUCAGGGACGAUAAUGACGGUACCUGAGGAGGAAGCCACGGCUAACUACGUGCCAGCCGCCGC
rnacentral:rRNA from 1 species